CCUACGGGAGGCUGCAGUGGGGAAUAUUGCACAAUGGGCGCAAGCCUGAUGCAGCCAUGCCGCGUGUGUGAAGAAGGCCUUCGGGUUGUAAAGCACUUUCAGCGGGGAGGAAGGCGGUGAGGUUAAUAACCUCAUCGAUUGACGUUACCCGCAGAAGAAGCACCGGCUAACUCCGUGCCAGCAGCCGCGGUAAUACGGAGGGUGCAAGCGUUAAUCGGAAUUACUGGGCGUAAAGCGCACGCAGGCGGUCUGUCAAGUCGGAUGUGAAAUCCCCGGGCUCAACCUGGGAACUGCAUUCGAAACUGGCAGGCUAGAGUCUUGUAGAGGGGGGUAGAAUUCCAGGUGUAGCGGUGAAAUGCGUAGAGAUCUGGAGGAAUACCGGUGGCGAAGGCGACCCCCUGGACAAAGACUGACGCUCAGGUGCGAAAGCGUGGGGAGCAAACAGGAUUAGAUACCCGAGUAGUC
rnacentral:rRNA from 1 species